AUAACUUCCCACUAGAUCUAGCUGCUAUAGAUGUCCCAUCUAUAAAUGGAUAACACAUUCGUGUUAUUGUAUAGGAGUUAUUGAAAAAUAAAGUAGCAAUAAGGACCUCUUAUUGCUACUUUAUUUUUAUUUUCUUUUUAUUUUGUUUAGUAUUUUACUAUUUAAAAUGAAUUUCUAAUGAUUUCAUUUAUAAUUUCUAUUUUUUUAUAUUUAUACUACUUUUAUACUACUAGACGUACCUAAAAUAGAGAAUUCUAGAUUUUCAGAAUUUUUAAAGAAAGGAAAAUGUUCGAAAUAGAAUUUUAUGAAUGAAAUAUUAAAACAUUAAAAAUUAGAGUAGGGGCGGAUGUAGCCAAGUGGAUUAAGGCAGUGGAUUGUGAAUCCACCAUGCGCG
rnacentral:misc_RNA from 1 species